rnacentral:rRNA from 1 species
GACGGAGGAUGCAAGUGUUAUCCGGAAUCACUGGGUAUAAAGGGUGCGCAGGCGGCCUGAUAAGUCAGAGGUGAAAUAUGUCGGCUCAACCGGCAAACGGCCCCUGAAACUGUCAGGCUUGAGUCCGGGAGAGGUUGGUGGAAUUCCAGGUGUAGCGGUGAAAUGCGUAAAUAUCUGGAGGAACACCGGUGGCGAAGGCGGCCAACUGGCCCGGUACUGACGCUCAGGCACGAAAGCUAGGGGAGCGAACGGG